CUUAGAGGUCACCUUGUCUGGAUACUUCCUUUUACUGCUAGGCAAUAUGGCUUUAUAGUCAGGAUCCUGGACCUCAAGUUUCUGGGCCUCAGUCUCCUUAUCCCUAAAAUAAAGAUAAUAGUGAUACUGACAUAACAGAGGUGUUGUGAAGAUUGAAUGAGAUGAUGCAAGGGAAGCUCUUAGAAGAGCACUGGGCACACAGUAAACAGCCAAUAAAUAUUAGCUGUAAUCAUUGGAGGCCCAGGGGAGAAGGGACUUGCUCAAGAUCACACAGCAACUCAGAGGCAGAGCUGGGGUUAGACCAAGGACGCCUGCCUCCCAGCCUGGGCCCUUUCCCAUUCCACUCUUCCCUCUGUCUUCCUCAGAAAAAGAAAAUAGUCCCAGAGGGAACCAGGAUACUUUUCUCACUGAAUCAUUUAGGAUGCAAGGAAGAGGUCACCUGCUUUAGAGUGGCUUAAACUUUUUAUUUUUUAAUGAGGCCAGAAGAAGUUGGAAUGAGGAUUGGUCUGCUGAUUCAACAAUGUCUUUGAUGACCCAGGCAUUUCCCAUUCUGAGCCUCGAGGGUGACUACCCCUGUGAUUGCAAGAUGACUGAGUGCCAUCAGGAACCAUGUCCUCCCAAGCAGGGAGAAAGGGCAUGGUAGCAAAAAGGGUAUUCUCCCUUCACAUCAUUCUCUUAUCCAGGAGAGAAGCUUUCCCAGCAGACUAUCCCCAAACAUGUCAUUGACUAAGACGAGGUCACAUGUCUACUCUUGGACCACUUUCUGGCAAAGGGGAAGGCAUUUCCAUUGCUGCCUUGGAUCAUCCCUGUGGCUGAGCACCUUGCUACCAGAAUGAAGAAGAGAGCAUUUGCCAUGGGAAGGCAACCAAUACAACCUGCCAUACUCAUCUUCUGUUUUCUCUCUGGAUUGCCCUCCUACCUCCUCUCCAUCUCCGCCAGGAAGUCUUCCCUGGUUGCCAGGGCCUUGUCCGGCACACCCUCUUCUAAUGUAAUUGAACAUUGUUUAAUUCAAGUUACAUUUCACUUUGCCAAAGAUUUCUCACCUUAUCAUGUCCAGAUCUUAUCUUCUCAACCAGGCUGUGAUAGGUCAUUGCAAGAGUUAUAGCAGCGACUAAUGAAUAAGUACCUACUGUGUGUCAGGCACUGGUCUGAGUGCUUGUUGUAGCCAGCUUCCAAAUGGCUCCCAAUGAUCCAUACCCCCUGGUAUUCAUGCCUUUUUGUAUUCCCCUCCCACAUUAUACCAGGGUUUGUCUACAUGACCAAGAGAAUAUGGCAAAAGUUACGGUAUGUUUCUUCCAAUAUUAGAUCAUAAAAGGCACAUGGAAUCAAAGCUUUUGGUCAACUGCCAACAAGGUACAGAGGCCCAACAGCAAUCAUCGAAUGAACUUGGAAGUGGAUCCUCUCACCCCAGUUGAGCCUUCUGAUGACUGCAGCCCUGGCUGAUGCUUGACUACAACUUCAUCAGAAAUCCUCAUGAAGAUCCAGCACCUUCCAGUUAGCCCAUCUAUGAGAAAACCAAUGCUCCGAUGAGUGCAGUGACUUCCCAUGCCUGUGGAGAGUCUAUGCCUUUGAUUGGAUCCCCAGAGGUGGUUUUCACUUGCCCCCCAUUGCCUAUACCAUGUUGCCUUCCUGGAGUUGGUGGCCUUUGAGCUGGGCCUGGAAGAUUGGGUAGGACUUUAUGAAGUGGGGAUGGAGAGACAAGCUGUGCGAUGGGGAUGAAGAAGAUAACCCAGGUCAGAGGGAACAGCAUAAGCAAAGGUAUGUGAAGGGGAAAGAAUUCAACACCUCCAGGCAAUGGUGAGGAUGUCGCUGAGUUCUCUUUCACUUAUCUGCAUGUCAGUCAUGACCCCUGGAUGCCAGCUCCUGAUGGGUCAUCUGCCUACCCUAGAACUUCCCAGCAUCUAGCAUCCCAGACCUUCCCAGAGUCUACAAGAAAAGAAACCUAGGCAUCAGGAUGUCAGUUCUGGUCUGAGUCCUGUCCUCUGCUGACUUUACACCAGCACAAUCUAGCAGGGAGACUUAAUGUCUUCUCCUCCCAGCUUCCUGGUACAGUGUAAGAAAGUAAGCUUGCAGAUGCAAAUGCUUGUGGCUCUUCAUUGACCAGAGGCUAUAUUAGGGGAGAGGACUUCCCUGGGACCCCCACAGGGCCUGGAAAACCCCUCUGGCCCUGACUUGCUCCACCCCUUGGCUCUUGACCCAUUUCUCUCUUGGGUAACUCCUGAGUCUCCUCACCAUGUCCAGUUUGGAAGACUUUAGGCACAAGGACCUCGUCUUUUCCUUCAGAUCUUGGCUCAACCAAGAGGCGGACUCACCGUGAUGUGAAUGCAGCUUGAGCAUCCAGGACUCUCCCCAGAUCCAGGGAGGGCCUCAGCGAUGUGUUCACGUUGUCAUAUUUUUAUAAAAUUUGCAAAGGUAAGAUACUUUAACCACAAUCAAAAUUACUAUUUUCUUCCCACUCCAACUUCCCUUGUGUUUCAAUUUUCCUUUAUGUGGGAUAAUUGGAGUGGCCAUGGGCACUUCUGGGAUCUGACCAAGGGGAAGCUGAGUGGGGGACUGAUUUGAGUUGGGUUCACUGGGAUAUGUUUAUGUGGUUUUCUGAAACAGAGGAUAUAUUAAUAUUUAUGUGGUUCUCUGUGUAUAGAUAAAUCAUUGCUAGUAAUCUCUGUGUAGAGAAUAGCUUCUAGGAAUUCUACCCACUGCCCAGCUCACUUGGCAUGGUGAUAUUAAGUUGCCAUAUGCAGAGGUCAUAUCGUGAUAUGAAUGUGUGUCAUGGCACCCAGCCCAGGAAGUAUAUGGGCAGUAGACAAGAAACAGGAGAAACCAGGUUUGAAAUGUACAGAGCCAGAAGCUAGUCUGUGGAAAAUUCUUCUAAUCAUCAGGGGGAGAAAAUGUGUCUCAGAGGUUAAGCAGGGCAGUUAAUAAAAGUAUUACGCAUUUUGGGGGGAUUGUGUGAUGUAUCUGUUUUGAUUUCUUUUCUCAUUAUAGGUAAAUAUAGGUACCUUGUACCUAAUUUUAUAUUCAUAAUUUUGUAUAUUUUUCUUAAAGAGGGCUCCUCAAAUUAUAAAACCUUCAGUUCCCACAAGGUCUACACAUCCAACCUUGGCUCCAUCAUUUAUUUUCUGUGUGAUCUUGGGGAAGUCACUUGUGCUUUCUGAGCCAGUUUCCUCUUCUAUAAAAUGUGAA
rnacentral:lncRNA from 1 species